AGCAGCCGCGGUAAUUCCAGCUCCAAUAGCGUAUAUUAAAGUUGUUGCAGUUAAAAAGCUCGUAGUUGAAUUUCGGGAUCAAUUAAUUGGUCGUGCCUCUGGUACGUACUGAUUUUAUUGGUUUCUCCCUUCUGACGAACCAUGAUGUCAUUAAUUUGGUGUCGUGGAGAAUCAGGACUGUUACUUUGAAAAAAUUAGAGUGUUUAAAGCAAGCUAACGCUUGAAUACAUUAGCAUGGAAUAAUGAAAUAGGACGUUUGAUCCUAUUUUGUUGGUUUCUAGGAUCGACGUAAUGAUUAAUAGGGAUAGUUGGGGGCAUUAGUAUUCAAUUGUCAGAGGUGAAAUUCUUGGAUUUAUUGAAGACUAACUACUGCGAAAGCAUUUGCCAAGGAUGUUUUCAUUAAUCAAGAACGAAAGUUAGGGGAUCGAAGACGAUCAGAUACCGUCGUAGUCUUAACCAUAAACUAUGCCGACUAGGGAUCGGAUGAUGUUAAUUUUUUAAUGACUCAUUCGGCGCCUUA
rnacentral:sRNA from 1 species